rnacentral:rRNA from 1 species
CAAUAGCGUAUAUUAAAGUUGUUGCAGUUAAAAAGCUCGUAGUUGGAUCUCGGGUCCAGGCUUGUGGUGCAGCUUAGGCUGCUUACUGCUUGUCCUGACCUACCUGCCGGUUUUCCCUUGGUGCUCUUAAGUGAGUGUCUUGGGUGGCCGGAACGUUUACUUUGAAAAAAUUAGAGUGCUCAAAGCAGGCUUUCGCCUGAAUAUUAGUGCAUGGAAUAAUUGAAUAGGACCUCGGUUCUAUUUUGUUGGUUUUCGGAACUCGAGGUAAUGAUUAAGAGGGACAGACGGGGGCAUUCGUAUUACGGUGUUAGAGGUGAAAUUCUUGGAUCGCCGUAAGACGAACUACUGCGAAAGCAUUUGCCAAGAAUGUUUUCAUUAGUCAAGAACGAAAGUUAGAGGUUCGAAGACGAUCAGAUACCGUCGUAGUUCUAACCAUAAACGAUGCCAACUAGCGAUCCGCCGGAGUUGUUUCAAUGACUCGGCGGGCAGCUUCCGGGAAACCAAAGUCUUUGGGUUCCGGGGGAAGUAUGGUUGCAAAGCUGAAACUUAAAGGAAUUGACGGAAGG